AGCCUUGUGGUGUAUAACAUGUUGGAUUGCAAAUCCAAAGAUGUAGGUUGAUUGCCUGCCGGGGCUU
rnacentral:tRNA from 1 species